rnacentral:lncRNA from 1 species
AGUAAUAAACUAAUUUUUAUUUCUUUUUUUUCUAUUUUUUUAUUUUUUUACUAAUUUUUAUUUCUUUGCAAACAGAUAUGUCUUUGUAGGCAUGCCAGCAUUUAAUUAGUUUGUUACAAAAAUAAAAUUGCACAUAAAGAAAUUAACCGUAUACGUGGAGUAUGGUAAGAAUACCGCAAAUGUUGCCAUGGGGAGGCAUGAAGCUCUCAGUUAUUUGUUCAAGUGACUCUAAUUUCACUUUUUAAAUUAAUAAAGAAAGCUGAAUCGUAUCCAUGUCUCCGUUUGCUUUAGUGUUGAUAACCAUCAUGCGAGAAAGAUUGCUGUUUUUAUAAAUGUGAUAACUAGCUUCCAAAACAGUCUCCAGUGAUCCUCACCUUUUGCUAUUCACUUUCUUACAUGGUCCCCCCCAACCCCAACAUCAAAGCAAAAUAAGAAAAUAUUUUUAUUUAAUGGCUUUUCAUUUAGCAGCAGGAUCUUGAGAAACCAAAUCGGGUCGUUAAGUGUGAGGAAUGGGCAGAGAGCCCUGCCUUGUCGUCUGACUACACAUGCGACCACGAUCUGCCCAGGAUCUCCAGACAGGCAGUUCCAGAUGGGACGUGGAGUUUUAGUCACUACACGCAGAUGGAUGUGACCCCAGCCGAAUGGCACCGUUUCACUGAUAACAGAACAGCAAUGUUGGAGGAUGUUUCCAAGAUACCAAGAGGAGGUCAGUCUCCAUGCUGGUGCGUGUGUGCCCGUGAGUGCAUAACUGGAGGAGGGAUCUGUGGGAGGGGAGGAGGGAGAGAGGGGAUCUGUGGGAACGCCAACUCACAGCAACAGGAGUGGGGAGACAGUAGAGCCACAGAGAGACCAGGUGUUGGAGAAGAGUCCCUGGGGGCCACAUUGAGCUCAGCUCUGAGGAACAGCAGGUGUUGGGGCUCAGGCGGCAGCUGGGGGGCUUUCAGCAGGGGCUCUGGUGGCCAUGAGCACAUCCUCACCUGGGUUCAAGUACCCACCCGGGCCUGUCCCACAGAGACCUCUAUGACCCAUUCCCUGGCCAGGUGUAGCUGAAGGUGGCCUGGAAGCCCAGGGAAGUGGCCACCUUCAGCUACAAUGCCCAGCUCCAGGACACAGAAACGCAGCAGCAGCACCAACAGAGUUUUCCAGGGGCAUCUGCUGGAGGCAGCCAGCACUGUCAGAAAGGUGCACGUCCCUGAACUGACAGGGUUCAGCCCUGUGCGAUUGGCUGUGAUGACCAGGGUGGCUGCUCCUACAAUGAGGAACGGCCUUCCACGGGCAAGCGGGGGCCAGUAGGUGGUGGGAUUGUGGCAGCUGAUAGGUGUGGCCUGUGAGGCAUUAGAGCUUCUGCCUUUGUCCCUUAGAGUCCUCAUUCUGAGCAAAACGACUUCCAUGUCAUGAACACAUUGAACACAUUUAAGGGUUCCGUGGAGAGGACCGUGGGGAGGACCUGAGUCCUCGUGCCGGGAACCUGUAGCAACUCAACAGUCGUGUGAGCAAAUCGGUCACCUUGAAGGCAGAGUCUCAUCUCGUCUCAGUCUUUAGACGAUGGCAGCCCCAGCCAACACCUUGAUUGCAGUCAUAAAAGGUCAUGGGCCAAAUCACCCAUCAAGCCGAUUGCUGUUGGGGGUACUGUACUGUAGGACAAUAGAUAACUAACCCAGAUCGUGGUAUCAAAAAAAAAAAAUAUGCUUCCACUUCAACAACAACAACAACAACAACAACAAGAUAAAACUGGAACUAGAAAUGUGGAAGUGGCGUUUGGAGCAGCCUCCAGCUAGAACAGAAAGUGGAGAGGAGAGUUCAUCAGAGUUUAGAGAUCUUUGCGCACAAUGCUGGCAGGAGCCUGGUGGAAUUGAGGUGUUGCUAGAGCUAAAGGAAAAGGGAGGAUAACUUUGGCAGGAAAUUUUAGAGUCGAGAGGAUUGUUGCGAAGUAGAGACAGAAAUACUGCUGUUGGCAUCAACGUGGAAAGUAGAAGACACAAUGAAUGAACUGGGUGAUCAGGUUAGGGGGCUUUCCAGGCAGUGUUGUAGGUGCAGCCCAGCUUCUCCUUGUUGCGUAGAGUAAAAUGAGAGAAGAAUGAGAAUAACAUCAAGGGAGAAAAAAAAAAAAAAACAAGAAAAUUUAGACAUAAAGGAGCUGGAAUGUGCUUAGUUUGAGAAUUUCAGGUUCUCAGAUAGCAGGUAAAUCUGAUAUUAAGAAAUAGUUCUUAGGGGCACCUGGGGCUCAUUCAGCUAAGCAUCUGCCUUCAGCUCAGGUCAUGAUUCCAGGGUCUUAGGAUCCAGCCCCGCAUUGGGCUCCCUGCUCAGCGGGGGUCUGCUUCUCCCUCUCCCUCUGCCUGCCUCUCAUUCCCUCUCUUUCUCAAAUAAAUUAAAAAAAAAAAAAUCUUUAGGAAACAGUUCUCAAAGAUCAAGAGGAAACUGAGUCCCACAGCUUCUAACUAUUGUUUUAGCCUAAAAGAAGAAAAGAAUAAAUUAAGGCAAAGUGAUAUUUGCAGAAAUUCUUCAUAGGUCUGAGGAAAGUGCAAAGACCUGACAUGAGACAGUAUAAAAUCGUCUCAACAGGAUACAUGAAAAAAAAAAAAAAAAAAAA